rnacentral:tRNA from 1 species
GCCCCUUUAAUAUAUCAGUAUAAUUGACUUCCACUCAAUAAGACUUAGUAGUUACUAAGAAGGAGUA